rnacentral:sRNA from 1 species
UCAAUCAGUGUCAAUCAAAGCCUAUCCUAGUGAGAGUUACUGGUUCCCCCUCUAUUUUUGUGUUCGAGAUGUUAAGUCUUUAGCAUGAGGGGUCCAACACUGCAUUUUUCUUGCAACAAUGUGGUGCGGCAUGAACUGUAAUAUGGAGAUAUAGCACGUCGAGAUUAGCAUUUAAACUUUCCUAUGCUCAGUUUUGGCAGUUCUUUAGUCACUAGUAAACUGCACAUUUUUUGUCAUGA